UACGUAGGGGGCAAGCGUUGUCCGGAAUCAUUGGGCGUAAAGAGCGUGUAGGCGGCCAGAAAAGUCCGCUGUGAAAACUCGAGGCUCAACUUCGAGCUGUCGGUGGAAACUUUCUGGCUAGAGUCCGGAAGAGGAGAGUGGAAUUCCUGGUGUAGCGGUGAAAUGCGCAGAUAUCAGGAGGAACACCGGUGGCGAAGGCGGGUCUCUGGGCCGUAACUGACGCUGAGGAGCGAAAGCGUGGGGAGCGAACAGG
rnacentral:rRNA from 1 species